rnacentral:rRNA from 1 species
UACAGAGGGGGCAAGCGUUGUUCGGAAUUACUGGGCGUAAAGGGCGCGUAGGCGGCCUGUUAAGUCAGACGUGAAAUCCCUCGGCUCAACCGGGGAACUGCGUCUGAUACUGGCGGGCUUGAAUUCGGGAGAGGGAUGUGGAAUUCCAGGUGUAGCGGUGAAAUGCGUAGAUAUCUGGAGGAACACCGAUGGCGAAGGCAGCUGCCUGGCCUGACACUGACGCUGAGGUGCGAAAGCGUGGGGAGCGAACGGG